ACACUCUUUGAAAGAAAGUCACUAUGUGCAGUUAUGGCCCAGUUCCUUGAGGUUGGAGUAUCUGAUUUUUCUGCACAGAGGUUCAUAGGCAGAAGGGACUUACCUUGCCUCAGCAAGGCAAUUUACUUCUAUAGAAGGGUGCGCCCUCACAGAUGGAGCAAUGAAUGUGAAUUCGAAUUGUUGCAGAAUGUCAAAGGAGAACUCUUCCUGCUGUCUCAGAAUUUCAGCUGGAGCUACAGAGAUCAAAGAGAGGUUGUUAAAUACCCACUAAUUUGAAAGCGAGUUGACAGGCCAGCUGUGCAGAACAUGCUAAGGGGUAACCCCAAAAGACAGAUAAGCCUUUGUCUAUGACGUGCCUCAAGCCAAUACAAGGAGAAAAAAGAAGAGCAAUAAAGGAAAGACCAUGAGGAUGGGUUUCUGUGAGAAGAGCUGUAGAUUUUUCCUUUCUUCUCCAUACCUUGAGCCAAGUUGGGAGGUUGUAAAAAUCCUCUGACAGAGCUUGGGUGUGCUUCCUGCCAGGAGGAAGACUAACCUGGAACAAGCGGGUGGGGAGAGACCUUCAGAGAAUUUGGACUCCCUACAGUCGGGGGCACAGGGUUUUGUGUUGACUUGCACUUGUAGAAGUCCGAUGCCAGCCGGGCGCGGUGGCUCACGCCUGUAAUCCUAGCACUUUGGGAGGCUGAGGCGGGUGGAUCACGAGGUCAGGAGAUCGAGACCAUUCUGGCUAACACUGUGAAACCCCGUCUCUACUAAAAAAAAAAUGCAAAUUAGCCAGGUGUGGUGGCGGCGCCUGUAGUCCCAGUUACUCGGGAGGCUGAGGCAGGAGAAUGGCGUGAACCCGGGAAGCGGAGCUUGUAGUGAGCCGAGAUUGCACCACUGCACUCCAGCCUGGGCGACAGAGCGAGACUCUGUCAAAAAAAAAAAAAGAAAAAAGAAAAAAAAGAAAGAAAGAAGGAAAGAAAAAAUUCCGAUGCCAAUAGGCUGGGCUGCCUGUAGUGGGCCUUAUAGAAGGAAGAGCCAAGAGGCUUUUGAUGGAAGUGAAUUCUAUUUUUGCUCAUCCCAAACCAAGGGUACUAUUUCCAGAGGUCUCUUGGAACUCUAGAAGCUAUCUGGCCUUCGAUUGUUUGGAAAAUGAUCCCACCCCAAAGGGCUUCCUGCUGAGGAAAGAUGAAUCUGGUUGAAAGAGGCUGGUCUGUACUGUCGGAUGCAGAAGGAAAGGCAAAGGAUGGAAGGAGCAAAGCUUUUAAGCUGCCAGUAAGAGACUGUAUUAUCACCACAGGCAAGAGGAGUGCUGAGUAAGGUCUGCAGCAAGAGGUGCGGUUGGAUUUCUGAGGAGCCCACCGUACUCCAAGGAGCAGAAGAACUGGCCCUGUGGCAUCAGCUGCACCAUUUCAGAUUAUAACAUUCCAGUCUAACAUUCCAUUUGAUUCUUUGUUCUCUUUCCCAGCUUCAAGCUUGAAGAGCUGGAGACAGCAGAGAGAGUGGAAGAGUGGGAGGAACAGGAGAUCAGUAAAGUAGAUAAACAGGAAAGAAAGAAACCCUACUUCUUUCUCCAGUGCAGACUUCUGAGACUGAUCAGCCUCUAUGUGGGGCUACAAAAAUUGUAGGCUUUAACAGUUGAAUAUGAAACUAUUUAUUAAACUUCAAGGUGAAGAUAAAAGAUAUGGGAACCUCAUAAGCUUUCAUGCAGAGAGGGAUGAAUUGACAAAGUGGUUUUAAUAGGAUAGCAGGGAGGGGGGAAGGAAACAGCUGCUUUCUAUUUGUACUGACUCCCUCAUUAAAGUCACUGCAUUACAUUCAUCAGAAUUAGGGAUAUUUGGAAUGAAAGUAAUAACUCCAAUUUUAUUUCUUCAAAUGUGAAUUUAUAUGUUAGUUUGGGUUCCUCCAAAACAAGCUGAGAUAAAGAUUAAGAUGCAAUUUAUUUUGGGUGUGAUUCUCAAAAACAGCAGCAGAGGAAUGUGGAAUGAAGGCAGCUAACAAAGAAUUCAUUUUAAAGCAAGUUAUAUGGUUGGUUAGUAGAGCUCAACACCACUGGAAGAACUCUGGAAGUCAGGAUAGGGCACAUGCUUCAGAGUUAUCCCAAUGAAGACAAAAGAGAACUGUGAUGUUCCUAAAUCAACUGCUGUUAGUCUUUGUUAGAGAUCUACACUUGGAGAGGCAUUCAUUCUCUGGCACUUCUAGACUGCAAUAUAGAUGGCAAGAAGACACUGCCAGCAAGAAUAGCUCUCAGGCAAUAUAUAUGCAUGCUGGCAAGAGCUGCACUGCAAUAGGGCAAGAAAAUGUAAACAGGGAACUGACAAAAUCAAGUAUGUACCAUGGAUCAUAUAUUAAGAUGGGAGAGUAAAACAUAGCUCCAUCUUUUCUAUUGGGGAAUUUUAAGAAUAGACGUAAGUUCUCUCUUGGGAAGCUUUAUGUGUAAUGUGUCUGAAGCAAAGAAUAUUGAACAAGUCCUGUGCGUUUCUAUCAGAGCUAUUACAUAUAGUUAUAAAAAGGAGACAUUUUUAUUUGUACUAGAGGUCAGACUUCUCAAGUUUUAAAGUUUAGAAAUGUUUUAAAGGAACAAAAGCCCCAUUUUGAAUAAGAAUAGAAUUUUCUCUGAUACUUAAAGACCAGUAGGAGUUAACUCAGGUCUUUCUAAUUGUUGUAUAUGUGAUAAAAAAGAAGCUAAUGCACUAUUCAAAGUUUAAACAUUAUAUAAUGCUCACUGACACUGUUUUUAAGCAAUUAUUUACAUAACAACUACUUAAGAUAAUCUAUGGAAUAAUUUUAUAUUCAAGAAAUGAACAUAUUUAGGAAACAUAUUAACAUUCAGUAAUUGUUUAUUAAUUUCUAUCAGGUGUUCUUAUAUACUAGACACAAGCCAUGCAGCAGGGCAUAAGGCAGGAGGCAGGAUUCUUGCUCUCUAGUGGGGAAGUUCAAUAUAAAAGGGAAGAAAAUAAAUGACCUAAUUUCACACAGUCACAUAAUAAAUAUAUAAUUACAAACUGAAAAUGCUACAGAGGAAAAAUGGAGUAUACUUGGGAAGUUUAAGUUUUAAGAUGGAUUUUAAUUUUUCAUAUAACUUUCUCUUUUUUUGAAUUCUCCCACAUAUCAUGUUAAUAUGACAAAAUUGACACAUACUCAAGCUCAUGGCUGAAAGUAUAUUUGAAAAGUCAAAUACAUAGAAACAGAAAGUAGAAUUUUGGUUACUAGGCACAGGGAAGGGGAGGAAAUGGGGAGAUAAAGGCCAAAGGGUACAAACAUGCAAUUUGUGGACUACGAGGACUGUAGUUAAUAAUACUGUUUACUGAAAAUUUGCUAAGAGAGUAGAUUUUAGGGGCUUUUACUAUAAAAUAGGUAACUAUGGUAAUAUAUAAGUUAAUUUGCUUGACUGUAGCAAUUAUUUCACUAUGUAUAUCAAAACAUCAUGUUAUAUACCCCAAGUAUAGACAAUAAAAUUAAAAACAGCACAUGUCAACAGAAUUGAGCAGUGUGAAAAAUCAGAUUACCUUUUAGAAAGAACACUUGUACAGCAUUCAGAAUGACUAAAAUUAAAAAAAAUAGCAACAACACAAAUGCUGGUGAGGAUGUAGAGAAACUGGAUCACUCAUGCAUUGCUGGUGGGAAUGCGAAAUUGUUCAGCCAUUCUGGAAAAGUAGUUUGCUUGUUUCUUAAAGAAAACUCAACAUGCAACUACUAUAUGAUUCAACAAUUAUACUCGAGGGUAUGUAACCCAGGGAAACAAAAACUUAUGUUCUCACAAAACCUGCAUAUAAAUGUUUGCAGUAGAUUUAGUAGAUUUGCUAGUCAUGUCUAAAACUGGAAACAACCCAGAUGUUUUUCAGAGUGAAUGGUUAAACACAUAUGGUCCUACCAUAUCACGGAAUACUACUCAGCAAUAAGAAAGAACAAACAAUACAACCAGGAAUCUCCAGAGAAUUAUGUUAAUUGUAAAAGCCAAUCCUAAAAGGUGGCUUAUUAUAUGAUUUCAUUUAUAUGACAGUCUUUAAAAUGCAAAGUUAUAAAAAUGGAAAAUAGAUUACUGGUUGUUUGGGGUUUAGGAGGGAGUGGAAGUGGGAGAGAGGUGAGGGCAAUUAUAAAAGAGCAACAUAAGGAAGCCUUGUGAUGAUGGAAACGUUCUGUAUCUUGACUGUGCCAUUAUCAAUGUCCCAAUUGUGAUAUUUUACUAUAGUAUUGCAAGAUGCUAUCAUUGAGGAAAACGGGGUAAAGGGUACAGGGGGUCACACUGUAUUAUUUCUUACAAGGGCAUGUGAAUUUUCAAUUAUCUCAAAGUAAAAGUUUCAAUUAAAUAGAUAGCAUCUUUUAAAUGCAAGAAUAGGAGGUUAUUUUGUGUACUGGUGGCAGGCAAAAGUUUCUUUUUUCUUAAUAUAGUUUAUAAAGAAAAUAGAUACAUUAAAUAUCAAAAUUAAUACCUUUUGUUGAUCAAAAUAAAUAUACCCUUAAGAAAAUGAAUAGGCAAGGCAGAAUUUGUAGAAAACAAAUCAAACAAAACGUAUAUCCACAAUCUAUGUCUAUACCUAUACUUCAUUUUUUAUUUUUCAUAAAUAAAAAUAAAACAAUAAAAGGUGGGCAGAAUAACUGGCAAGAAACUUUAUGAACAUUUAUGAAUGCCCAAAAAAAGACAUACAAGUCUUUAUCCUCAUCAUUUAUUGAAUAAAUACAAAUGGAAAUCAAAGUCAAAUACCACUAGAUACUUAUUAGAAUAGAUAAAAUCUAAAAACUGAAAACAUUGAAUGUUGGCCAGCUUGUGGCACACCUGGAACUCUCAUGUGUUGUUGGUGGGAAUGUCAAAGUCUACCGCUUGUCAAAAUCUUUCUUUGAAAGUUCGGAGAUCUUAGCUUACUUACAAAUAACAAAUUAGUCUGCCAAGGUUUCAUGGAUGCUGGUAGGAGACAGUAGACUCUGGGUCAUAGGACAAUAAUGUGUUUUUACUCACAGCAAUAGCAGUAGCUUGAGUGGCAACAUUUUCCCAUGGCUUCUCAGAAGGUGAUGUGAACAGGACUAGAUGAUAUCUGCACAGACAGUGGGUUGCAUAUGGGCUAGGAACCCUGAGCUUAGGGAACUUGGAUCUUUUAUAAUUGACAGUAAGCUCGCUCUUUGCUCUGGAGAAAUACAUUGUCUCUAUCUUCCAAGGCUGUGCGCUAUACAAACAUCUUGUAAAAAUAGCCUGGAUCAAAGAGCAGUUAAUGCCUCAGUUGCUCUAUUUGUGUAGAAAUACAAGAGUCCCACAGACAUUUAUCUGUCAACAUCACAACUAGCUUUGGUAUAUUCAUAAAAUGGAAACUUUUGUUUUGCUUUGUUUUGUUUUGAGACAGAGUCUCCCUCUGUUGCCAGGUUGGAGUGCAGUGGUGUGAUCUCGGCUCACUGCAAUCUCCGCCUCCUGGUUCAAGUGAUUCUCCUGCCUCAGCCUCCCCAGUAGCUGAGACUACAGACGCACACCACCACGCCCAGCUAAUUUUUUGUAUUUUAGUAAAGAUGGGGAUUCACCUUGUUGGCCAGGAUGGUCUCAAUCUCCUGACCUCAUGAUCUGCCCGCCUUGGCCUCCCAAAGUGCUGGGAUUACAGGCCUGAGCCACCGCGCUGGCCAGAAAAGUUACUUAGCAAUUAAAAAAAAAGUAGUACCUACUGAUAUGAGCAAUGGCAUUAAUGAAUCUUGACAAUAUUACCUUUAGUGAAUUAUGCCAUACAUCCAAAAAAUUUAUAUCUGUGAUUCAGUUUUAAUGAUAAGCUAAAACAGGCAAUAUUAAUCUAUGCUAGAAAAAAAUCAGAACCGUCCAUUUUUUUCUAGGUAUGAGUGCAGGAAUUUAUUGGGAAGGGAAGAGAAAAUUUUUGGAGGUGAAGUUGUGGCUAAACUCAGAAAAUAUGUACCCAUGCAUUUCAAUCUAUUUUGCUUUGCAUAAAAAUACUAUGAACAAAUGAAGUGUCUAUUUAGUGACAUAAAUGUUAAGUAUUUAUUAACAUAAAUACUUAUGUUGCUUUCAAUUUACUUUGAAAUGCAUUUUUAAAAGCUGAUGAAUAAAUGUAUAGAAAAAUGAAUACUUUGAUAGGUAUAAGAUAAAGUAAGUCAAAUAGAAUCCAGGUGGUGGGUAUAAGGCCUUUAUAAAGUUCUUUCAAUUUUUCUUUUUGUUUUAAAUAUUUUACAAUGUUGGAAAAAAUUCUAACACAAUAAACAAACAAUGGAGCUAGAAGCCUUCAUAUAGAUUAGUGAAAGUAUACAUAAUUAUAAAGUAAAUCUUUUUUUAAAAUUAUUAAUUUUUAUAUCAGUAUCGGGGGAGGUGAGUAACCUUACCUUUUUCUCACAUCCUCUAACCUCAAGACCAUAAGUCUCGGAGAGCUUAAGUAUCCUCUUUCCAGAGCAACUUAGUUUGCUCAUUAUUUUACUGCCAUUGAUUUGUAUUUCAUGACAGCUUGGAUCCUCAGUGUCUAAUAUGAUUGUCAGUUUAUAGUAUUUUAUUAAUAAAUUUUGUAUUUAAAAUGGAAUUUAAACAGUCAUUCACUUUCAUUAAUUGCUCACAUAUUAUCUACCUUCACUUUCUGUACACACUCAUAGAGUAUGCAGCAUAUCCUCCACAUAGAAGUAUUGGUCAGAAAACUUUUGUACAUUUCAGCAAAAUGUGCUUAGAAGGGUUACAAAAUAAUCUCGAUAUAAAAACGAAACUUUGGUUAAAAGGUGGCCGUCAUCUUUCUCUUAAUAAGAUAAUUAACUUUUGUUUUACAACCACUAGGGGGCAGUCAAUAAGACAUUUAUAAAGUUACGUAAAUUGGGUCAUUUUUAAUUUUAAAAUUUUGUGCGGUAGAUUAACUAUCUAAGUAGAAUGCUAAGCAAAAAUAAGUAAUCAAAAUUGUAUUAUUUAAUUAAAACAUGUAUUCAAUCAGUGUUUACUGAAUACUUACUACUACUCAUCUGAGGCAGUUUGUCAAUUCUUAACUAAUGUUAAGUCUUAUUUCAUAAUUAUCUAAUAUGUACUGUUGUUAAGAUUAACAUAACAUUCAUAAUAGAUUUUUUUUAAUUUAAAACACAGAACUCAUAGAAAUAAUGUGAGCCAUUUUCCACUUGGACAAUUAAUGUGCUAAGCUAUGAACAUUUAGGUCCUUUCUCUAACAAUGUGCACUGCUCUUACUUUGUAACUUCUCUAAGCAAAAGGUUCAUCUAAUUCUGCCAGUUGGCAGUGUGAAACAUAUUUUCUGUGCUCAAUAAAUCUUAAAUUACAAGUUAUUGUAAUGUUCUUCACAGCAUUCUGUCUAUAAUCUCAUGGAAUCCAUAAGGCAUUAACUAGCAUUGUUUUCUAUAAAAAUGAAAAUAUGAUUACAUUUUUUGAAACAAAAAUUCUACAGAGGAUUUACUCAUAAUGUGAGUUAAUUUGUCUUGCUUUACUAAAAGCUGAAUGUUAUCAGAACCAUGGCAUAUGUGGGGGCAAAAUGCCUCUCACUCCUCAACCGAAUUCUCAGCAGGCCUCUCACUAUUCAAAAGGCAAUUUAUGUUCACAUGUGGUUAUGAUAAUAGAGUCAUAAUAUGAAAUCUUUAGUAUCUUUAUCUUUCUUUCUUUCUUUCUUUCUCUCUGUGUCUCUGUGACUGUCUCUGUCUCCCUCUCUCUCUCUCUUCAGAAAUAGUUAUUCUAGUUUGAUUGGACACAUCAUACUCAAACCUAGCCCAGUAAUCUUUAGUUACUACUUCAGGCUUCAGAAUAUCAGUAUAUAGCACUCAAAAUCCAUGAAUUUGGAAGAUAAAAUGAAAUGAUUUUUUUUUUUUUUUUUUUUUGCCAAUCUAAAGUCUUCAGGCCUUCCAGUCUUGCAUAAAAAUAGGGUCUUCUACCCAGGCAAUACCAUUCUGGACAUAGGAAUUGUCAAAGAUUUUAUGACAAAGACACCAAAAGCAAUUGCAACAAAAGCAAAAAUUGACAAAUGGGAUCUAAUCAAGCUAAAGAACUUCCGCACAGUACAGGAAAUAUCAAAUGAGUGAACAGAUAGCCUACAGAAUGGGAGAAAAUUUUUUCAAAUUAUGCAUGUGACAAAGGUCUAAUAUUCAGCAUCUAUAAGGAAUUUAAACGAAUUUACAAGAAAAAAAUCACCAUUAAAAAGUGGGCAAAGGACAUGAACAGACACUUCUCAAAAGAAGACAUGCAGGCAACCAACAGUCAUAUGAAAAAAAGCUCAACAUUACUGAUCAUUAGAGAAAUGCAAAUCAAAACCACAAUGAGAUACCAUCUCACACCAGUCAGACUGCCUAUUAUAAAAAGUUACAAAAUAACAGAUGCUGGCCAGAUUGAGGAGAAAAAGCAACACUUAUACACUGUUCCUGGGAGUGUAAAUUAGUUCAGCCAUUGUGAAAGACCAUAUGGUGAUUCCUCAAAGACCUAAAGAUAGAAAUACCAUUUGACCCAGCAAUCCCACUACUGGGUAUAUACCCAAAGGAAUAUAAAUCAUUCUAUUGUAAAGACACAUGCUUGUGUACAUUCAUUACGGCACUAUUCAAAAUAGCAAAGACAUGGUAUCAACCUAAAUGCUCAUGAAUGAUAGACUGUGUAAAGAAAAUGUGGCAUAUUUACACUAUAGAAUAGUAUGCAGCCAUAAAAAAAGAAGAAGAUCAUGUCCUUUGCAGGGACAUGGAUGAAGCUGGAGGCCAUUAUCCUUAGCAAAUUAACACACGCACAGAAAAUCAAAUACCUCAUGUUCCCACUUAAAAGUGGGAGCUAAAUGAUGAGAACACAUGGAUACACACACUGAGGCCUACUUGAGGGUAGAGUGUCGGAGGAGAAGGAGGAUCAGGAAAAAUAACUAAUGGGUAUUAGACUUAAUACGUGGGUGAUGAAAUAAUCUGUACAACAAACCCCCAUGACACAAGUUUACCUAUGUAACAAAACUGCACAUGUAUCCCUGAAAUUAAAAGUUAAAAAACAAAGAAAGGGGAGAUUUCUUUCCCCUUCCUCCCCAUGUAAUGAAAAUUCAUAUUUUUAAUUUUUUUCAUAACAUAAAAAAACAGAGUAUUAACAAGCUUACAGAGUCAUCAAAAUUAUGCAAUCUCCUGAUUUUAGCUUUCAGUUUCUCAGGAAAACUUCCUGAUUUUGGAAUCAGUAUUUGCCAUUAAGUAAAUUCAAUGUUUUGGUUCUGGUAUACCAGUUGUCCUGUGCCUAAUUAUGUGUCAGGACCUUUUAUAGUCAAAGGCUCAGGAAAUUGGGUUAGGGAUGAAUAAUUUUUUAGAAUAUUAAGGACCAUGGCAAUUAUCAAACAAAUGAUUGCAAGAUAUAAAAACAUGCAGUUUAACUCAAUGACCUGGAUAUUUUGGGAGAUAAAUGGAGCAUUUGGGGUUCUUGAAGUACUAUUUUCCUUCAUAAUCUUCUUCAAUUUGCAAUUGUUAAGAAGGUAUUGUCAGCAUUCUGUGUUGCCAUGCUUAGAGGUGUUCAUAGAAAACUGAGAUGCAUCAUGAUCAAAUUGUUGAAUACACUUAAUCGGAGGUAACCUAUAUUAUCAUUGUAAAUCCUUGCAGUUCCACCAUGCUUCAGCCCUGUGUACCCUUGAAUUUAAAAUAAAAGUUCAAUAAACAUUAAGAUAAAUGGGAUCUCUUUAGCAUUUGUGUUGGUUAAACUAGUUAAGCUCCUCCUUGUUAACAUCUUUCCUUUAUUCUCCUUGCAAACUCCUUCUGUGACCCCUUAAAAAGAUACUCAAGCAGUUUCAUGUGUUCAAAGAUCUUGUAGUGAUUGUCAUUUUUUAAAACAUUAUAAAUACUUUAU
rnacentral:lncRNA from 1 species